CCUAUGAAGCUGUUCUGUAUGAUUUUUGGGUUUUAGGUGACUGACUUCUGAAGUCGAUUUGAUAGCAGCUUAUCUUUACAGAACUGUAGUCUUGCAUACCUGUUAGUUUCCCCCCACCAGCCACUGCGCCUACUAUUGAUUCAGUACACAUUUAUGGGAUGCCUUACAUAAGCCAGGCACUUCCCUGAGCCAUGAAGAAUAAGUUGAAACCCAUUCUCGUUCUUGGAGGCAUUCGCAGUUCCAUGGAGGAAACAGAAUUGGCGUACAACAGGAAUCAUUGAGAACUACAGCUGCCCUUUUUCCUGAAGUCCUGUAAAGGGAAGCUAGAUAACAGGAUAUUGAUGUCAAAGAAAUCAUCCCAACUGACCAUGUUUAGACGAUCUUUGUGCCUGUUGCUGUAUGAGCCACUUAGAAAGAUCACCAGAGAAAUCCAAACUGCAAACCAGGAAAAUUUAUCAGAUUGCCACUGUCUGCUCUCACUCUAUCUGAAGAUGCUUCAAGACUGACAUCCAGAAAUCUUCUCACUGGCAGCUCUCAGCACUCAGACACUGGGUUUAUAUUUUGCUCCAACCAAUAACCUCUGUUUUCCUUUUAAUUCUAUAGAGAUGCCUCAUAUUAAUUACCUGAUUGCUUGUACAAUAUAGACCUAACUUUGGAAGCCCAUCUGCAAGAGUCCCUCCUGAAAUGUUUAACUGAACUGACCUGUGCUCAAGACUGAGGCUGAUUCAUUGAGCUAUGGAGUAAUCUAUCAGCUGGGCUUCUGGAUUGGAAUGCUUCUUCAAAGUUUCAGAAGUGAGACUGAAGGAAUUUAGAACAAGUCUCCCCCAAGUGUUCCACUACCUUAACUACCUAGAAGAAUCUAAACUGGGGGGGAGGUUCUUUUCCUGAAUAAGAGUUGUGACCAGAGAUACAUUUUAUCUGAUUGGCCCAUCUGCAUGGCAGGGCAAACAUCCCGUUACCAAACAUCUGCUCUUCUUCUUAUUGCCUUGUGCACUGACCUCCUCUCCUUUGAAGCCCCAGUCCCCUAUUCCAUUCCUUAGCUUCAGGAUUGCUUAUAAGCCUCAUUUUACCUUUCUGUCUUUGAACCUCUAAUGUUUAUGAGGUUCCUGUAUAUGCAAAAUUAAAUUUGAUUUUCUUCUGGUAA